ensembl:lncRNA
GACCUGCAUCCUCCCGCUUCAUUUUCUGGUUAGUGGGACGUGCCCUGCCGUUACUACUGCGAUUCUAGAAUUGAGAAAAGGAGGCACAGAGAGCUAAGUAACUUGACAACAGUCGUGAUGAGGACCAGAGUCUCCCUAGGACACAGACAACCCCUGAGUGAUGGGGAUGGGGCUUGGGUGCAGGGACCUGGAAGAAGGCAGGUGCCAGGGAAGGGACAGGAACAGGGAGGCCACCCAGAGGCCAGCAAAUGCUGGAGCUACUUCCUUGUGGGCCUGAGCCUGGGGGACCUGCGGGGUCAGGGCCAGGGAGCCACGGAGGGAACAGCCGGACGCUUGGCUCUGGGGGCGCAUACUGGCCGUCACCGCCCUGGACACAUGGUGAGAAGGAGCCCAGUGGUGUCUGACCCGAGAACACAUGGAUGCCCACGGACUUCCACGAGCCCAGGAUAAUUGACCAUGGUGUGGAGAGGAGAUUGGACGAGGACUAUAGAUGAGAAGAUGCAGAGAUGAUGAGCAGAAUGGGAUUGCCUGUUCCAGAGUGUCUCCAUGGACUUCAUCUCCUUGUGCCUCCUAUGAACAUCUUCCUGGGGCUUUCAGAACCAGGGCAGCAUCGGGGGCAACAUCAGGAACUUGAUGGGGCCAUGCGCUGGGUUAGACAGUAUCCUCCUCAAAUUCACGUCCACUUGGAUCCUCAGAAUAGGACCUUAUCUGGAGAUCUGGUCCGUGUAGAUAUAGUCAAGAUGAGGUUGUGCUGGAUUAGAGUUGGCCCUAAUUCAAUGACUGGAGUCCUCAUAUGACAAAGGAAGAGAGACUGAGACACUGACACGCAGGAGAGGAAGGCCACGUGAGGACAGAGUUAGAGGUCUGUUAGAACCGAGGAACGCCGAGGAGCGCCAGGGCCCCUGGAAGCUAAAAGAGGCAAUGAGGGGUCCUCCCCUAGAGACCCCCCAGAGGGGAGCACGGCCCUGCUGACACCUUGAUUUUGGACUUUUGGCUUCUGGAACUGGGAGAGAACACGUUUCUAUUGCUUUAAGCCACACACUUUGCAGUCAUUUGUUCCAGCAGCCACAGAAAACGAGUGUAGGCAGCAGCAACGGACACAGCCACAAAGCCAAGGCCUUGUCCCCAUCAUCUGCACCUGACACAGAGACAGACGGCAUUGUUAUUUUCCAGGGACCGUGUGAGGGGAAUCAGGAACUAAAGAAAAGAUGCAACACUGUGACACCACUGAGGUUAUCCUAAGAUUAAACAAACAAACAAAGGCAGUUUCCCUGGGGAAAUGGCACACACAGGAACCAGGAAGUGACCACGUGCCCAGCAUCACAGCUGACUCUGGACAAGGAUAUAAAGGCUCUGGGCCCAGGAGAGUCCACACCUGACCCUCCCUUCUCUACCUGAUCCUCUGACCUGCUCCACCCUCAACCCACCAGAACCAUGGGCUGCUGUGGCUGCGGCUCCAGCUGUGGGGGCUGUGGCUCCAGCUGCUGUGUGCCCGUGUGCUGCUGCAAGCCCGUGUGCUGCUGUGUGCCAGCCUGUUCCUGCUCCAGCUGUGGCAAAGGGGGCUGUGGCUCCUGUGGGGGC